ACGAACGCUGGCGGCGUGCCUAAUACCUGCAAGUUGAGCGCUGAAGGUUGGUACUUGUACCGACUGGAUGAGCAGCGAACGGGUGAGUAACGCGUGGGGAAUCUGCCUUUGAGCGGGGGACAACAUUUGGAAACGAAUGCUAAUACCGCAUAAAAACUUUAAACACAAGUUUUAAGUUUGAAAGAUGCAAUUGCAUCACUCAAAGAUGAUCCCGCGUUGUAUUAGCUAGUUGGUGAGGUAAAGGCUCACCAAGGCGAUGAUACAUAGCCGACCUGAGAGGGUGAUCGGCCACAUUGGGACUGAGACACGGCCCAAACUCCUACGGGAGGCAGCAGUAGGGAAUCUUCGGCAAUAGACGAAAGUCUGACCGAGCAACGCCGCGGGAGUGAAGAAGGUUUUCGGAUCGUAAAACUCUGUUGGUAGAGAAGAACGUUGGUGAGAGUGGAAAGCUCAUCAAGUGACGGUAACUACCCAGAAAGGGACGGCUAACUACGUG
rnacentral:rRNA from 1 species